ensembl:lncRNA
AAUUUUUCUUGUUAUUUUUUCUUUUUUUGAGGAAGAUUAGCCCUGAGCUAACCUCUGUUGCCAAUCCUCCUGUUCUUGCAGAGGAAGGUUGGCCCUGAGCUAACAUCUGUGCCCAGCUUCCUCUAUUUUAUAUGUGAGAUGCCACCACAGCAUGGCUUGAUAAGUGGUACAUAGGUCCAUGCUGGGAUCUGAACUGGCAAACCCCCGGCCACUGAAGUGGAGUGCACGAACUUAACCACUAGGCCAGUGGGCUGGCCCCUCUUGUUAUUAUUUUACUAUGCUUAUUUGAAAAUUUUUUUACUGUUGUAAAAUAUACAUAAUAUAAAAUUUUACCAUCUUAACCAUUUUUAAGCAUACAGUUCAGUGCAUUUAGUACAUUCACGUUGUUGUGUAAUCAUCACCACCAUCCAUCUCCAGAAUUUUUUCAUUUGUCCCAAACUGAAACUCUGCACUCAUUAAGAAAUCACUCUCCAUCCCCCCUUUUCCAAGCCCCUGGUAACCACUGUUCUGUUUUCUGUCUCUGUGAAUUUGACUAUUCUAGGUACCUCAUAUAAGUGGAAUCAUACAAUAUUUGUCCUUUUGCAUCUGGCUUAAUUUACUUAGAAUAAUGUUUUCAAGGUUCAACCACGUUGUAGCAUGUAUCAGAAUUUCUUUUCUUUUUAAGGCUGAAUAACAUUCUAUUGUAUGUAUUUACAACAUUUGUUUAUCCUUUCAUUCACCGAUGGACAUGUGGGUUGCUUCCACCUUUUGGCUAUUGUGAAUACUGCUGCUAUGAACUUUGGUGUGUACAAAACUCAUUAAAAUACAGCAUCAGGGAGCAUGAGAGAGAAGCAGUGGGAUGUGGAGAAAACCCUAGGGAGCCCCAACAUUUAAAGGGCAGGCAAAGGAAAACCUGCUCCUUCAGGAAGUUAGAUUCCUUUAAGGGUUUUUAAGUAGAGGGUGGGUUUGGUGUCAUUCAUGGGCUAUUUGCAAAACCUGUCAAGGGUCUGAUUUAGGACAGCGGCAUUGUACACAGGGGAGAGCAAACAUACAUAUAUACCAAGGAAGUAUCACAAAAAGAGAUCAUACCAGCAAGAACGGCCAUAAUCAGAACUUUACAGCCCCUUCAAGGAUUUGCUGUCCUUAGGUGCUUCCAAUGAGCCUCGCACUGUGCUAAAUUCAUUACAUUAUACCUUUAAUCUUCUCUGCUCCUCCAAAGAGUACCAUCCCCAUCUAGCAGAUGAGGAAACCGAGCAUCAUUAUGUACCUGCUGUAAUUUCACACAGCUAGCAAGUGGUCAAACCAGCAUUUCACCCUGGGGUCUACCCCCUGCUAAAACAUGGGUUCAAAAGCAAUGUGCAUGGUGCCAGUUCUGAACAAGGGGAGCAUUCAUUUCACAUUCAGCAGACUCUUCUGAAUCCUUGUCUCUGGCCUGAUAAUCUCUUGUCCUUAAGAUAUUUGCAGAGUCAAACGGGGUCCUUGGAGCAUCUAAUGGACUUGACACACUUACAUUUAUACAUUCAUAUGUUUUUAGCUUGCCAGGGAAACCCAAACAACAGCUCAGCAUCUGAUUUCCCUGGUCUUUUCUUCACUGGAUGUUCUAGUUAUGCCUUAGGGAUCACAGCAUGGAAAAGCCAUACAAAGGGUAGAUGAGAGGCCAGGAAUUUUCCCUGACCAUAACCCUCUUCUGUUUCAGGUUCUAUAAAAAAGGCAACUCAAGAAAGAAAAUCACUUCUAACAUCAUUUGCUGCUUUCCAAAAAUAUGAAUUCUUAUGAAUCAGAUGUGUGGCACAAUUGUGGCACACCACACAAUUUACUACUUCAAGGGGGUCCCUGAAGUUCCACUUUCCUCCUGGGAAGUCAUAUUUUGUCAAGACUAGAUGAACUUGAACCCGGAGAGGUUUGAAUUCUACUGCAACCUCAAAAACCACAAAAAUGGAAGAUAUUUGGAAAGUCAAAUAUGUCCUUGUGCCUCAUCGAUAGGGCCUAACAUUUUGUUCAUCUUGGGAAGAUUUGUGUGUUACCAGUUUCACCCCUACCAUAGUUUCUUGGUACAGACACGUGACGUUAUGUGGGGACUCUGACUUUAGAAGGCAGUUUUCACAGCAACCUCUUUUAGCCUUUUGAGUUUCUAAUGUAACCUUUGAAAACAGCUGGUCCAAAUUCCAUCUUGUCCCAGACCCACACAGACCUCCUCUGCAUUAUGUUCAGUUUGAGGACAAAGGAAGUCGAGGGAGGAGCACUGAGCAAGAUGUGAUUCAGCCAAGUGAUUACAGCUGUUUGCAAGCAGCCACCCAGAAUGCAG